rnacentral:rRNA from 1 species
UGGGGAAUAUUGCACAAUGGGCGCAAGCCUGAUGCAGCCAUGCCGCGUGUGUGAAGAAGGCCUUCGGGUUGUAAAGCACUUUCAGCGAGGAGGAAGGUGGUGAGCUUAAUACGCUCAUCAAUUGACGUUACUCGCAGAAGAAGCACCGGCUAACUCCGUGCCAGCAGCCGCGGUAAUACGGAGGGUGCAAGCGUUAAUCGGAAUUACUGGGCGUAAAGCGCACGCAGGCGGUUUGUUAAGUCAGAUGUGAAAUCCCCGGGCUCAACCUGGGAACUGCAUUUGAAACUGGCAAGCUAGAGUCUCGUAGAGGGGGGUAGAAUUCCAGGUGUAGCGGUGAAAUGCGUAGAGAUCUGGAGGAAUACCGGUGGCGAAGGCGGCCCCCUGGACGAAGACUGC